UAACAAGGAUUCCCCUAGUAACGGCGAGCGAACAGGGAAGAGCUCAAAUUUGAAAUCUGGCGUCCUCCGGGCGUCCGAGUUGUAAUCUAUAGAGACGUUUUCCGUGCCGGACCGUGUCCAAGUUCCUUGGAACAGGAUAUCAAAGAGGGUGACAAUCCCGUACUUGACACGACGACCGGUGCUCUGUGAUACGUUUUCUACGAGUCGAGUUGUUUGGGAAUGCAGCUCAAAAUGGGUGGUGAGUUCCAUCUAAAGCUAAAUAUUGGCGAGAGACCGAUAGCGAACAAGUACCGUGAGGGAAAGAUGAAAAGCACUUUGGAAAGAGAGUUAAACAGUACGUGAAAUUGUUAAAAGGGAAACGAUUGAAGUCAGUCGUGUCUGGGAGGCUCAGCCGGUUCUGCCGGUGUAUUCCUCUCAGACGGGUCAACAUCAGUUUUGUCCGACGGAUAAUGGCGGCGGGAAAGUAGCACCUCCGGGUGUGUUAUAGCCCGCUGUCGCAUACGCCGGAUGAGACUGAGGCAUGCAGCUCGCCUUUAUGGCAGGGGUUCGCCCACUUUCGAGCUUAGGAUGUUGACGUAAUGGCUUUAAACGACCCG
rnacentral:rRNA from 1 species